CUACCGCCGUCACGAGACGGCGGGAUGAGCAUGCAGAAGUCAGCCGAGGGCAUAGUAGUCCCGCGCACGGGAUGAAGGCC
rfam:Nitrospirae bacterium GWC2_57_13 gwc2_scaffold_2395, whole genome shotgun sequence.